rnacentral:rRNA from 1 species
UAGAGUUUGAAUCAUGGCUCAGAUUGAACGCUGGCGGCAGGCCUAACACAUGCAAGUCGAGCGGAAACGAUGGAAGCUUGCUUCCAGGCGUCGAGCGGCGGACGGGUGAGUAAUGCAUGGGAAUCUGCCCGAUAGUGGGGGAUAACCUGGGGAAACCCAGGCUAAUACCGCAUACGUCCUACGGGAGAAAGCAGGGGAUCUUCGGACCUUGCGCUAUCGGAUGAGCCCAUGUCGGAUUAGCUUGUUGGUGAGGUAAUGGCUCACCAAGGCGACGAUCCGUAGCUGGUCUGAGAGGAUGAUCAGCCACAUCGGGACUGAGACACGGCCCGAACUCCUACGGGAGGCAGCAGUGGGGAAUAUUGGACAAUGGGCGAAAGCCUGAUCCAGCCAUGCCGCGUGUGUGAAGAAGGCCCUCGGGUUGUAAAGCACUUUCAGUGGGGAAGAAAGCCUUGGGAUUAAUACUCCCGAGGAAGGACAUCACCCACAGAGAGACCG